CCUACGGGAGGCAGCAGUAGGGAAUCUUCCACAAUGGACGAAAGUCUGAUGGAGCAACGCCGCGUGAGUGAAGAAGGGUUUCGGCUCGUAAAGCUCUGUUGGUAGUGAAGAAAGAUAGAGGUAGUAAUUGGCAUUGAAUUGACGGUAACUACUUAGAAAGCCACGGCUAACUACGUGCCAGCAGCCGCGGUAAUACGUAGGGUGCAAGCGGUGACCGGAUGUAUUGGGCGUAAAGCGAGUGCAGGCGGUAAAAUAAGUCUGAUGUGAAAGCCGUCGGCUCAACCGGAGAAUUGCAUCAGAAACUGUUGAACUUGAGUGCAGGAGAGGAUAGUGGAACUCCAUGUGUAGCGGUGGAAUGCGUAGAUAUAUGGAAGAACACCAGUGGCGAAGGCGGCUCUCUGGUCUGCAACUGACGCUGAGGCUCGAAAGCGUGGGUAGCGAACAGGAUUAGAUACCCGGGUAGUC
rnacentral:rRNA from 1 species